CAGCCGCCACGGUAAUACGUAGGUCCCGAGCGUUGUCCGGAUUUAUUGGGCGUAAAGCGAGCGCAGGCGGUUAGAUAAGUCUGAAGUUAAAGGCUGUGGCUUAACCAUAGUACGCUUUGGAAACUGUUUAACUUGAGUGCAAGAGGGGAGAGUGGAAUUCCAUGUGUAGCGGUGAAAUGCGUAGAUAUAUGGAGGAACACCGGUGGCGAAAGCGGCUCUCUGGCUUGUAACUGACGCUGAGGCUCGAAAGCGUGGGGAGCAAACAGGAUUAGAUACCCCUGUAGUCCCUGUCUCUUAUACA
rnacentral:rRNA from 1 species